CAAUUAUUAAAAUAAAUUUGUAAUUAAAUCAAUGAUACAUAAAAUUAAAAUACUUCGAUAUCUAAUACUAAUUGAACUAACUAAUAAAGUAAUGAAAAAAAUAAUAUUUAAUUAAAUUACAUAUAAUACGAGUAUAUACUGCUCCCUACCAGCAAGGUCUGCGCAAGCCUAAGCUUAGUUAUAGCCGUUUUAUUAGGCGUGAAAACAAUUAAUAUUCAAUAAAAUAACACGUUAUGCAAUAAGGAAUUACAAUCAGCACGGUGAUUCUUUACCUUCUAUUGAAUAUAAAUUUUUUUCACAUCUAUUUUCUAGAAAUACAAAUUAAAUUAUAAUUAAAAAACUAUUAAUCGAAUAUAUAUGUAUGAUACAGUAAAAUUUUUAGAAUAAUAAUUUUUAAAAAAUGGUUACUUUGAAAAUUUUCUAAAUGAAUAGUUAUUUUUUUUUUUAUGUCAAGAAUGAAAAUAAAAAUUGUAAUUUUCUUCAAAUCGAUGCCCCCCUUGAAAACAAACCGAUGAAAAAAAAAAAAUUGAAAAAAUUGAAUAUUGAUAGCGCUAGAAGAAUCUGUCGAACAUGGUGGGGCUCACUGUAAUAUUGUAAAAUAAUUUACCUGUUUUCCCGUUUUUCCUCCGUUUUUCGGGUUUUCACAUUAGAUGAGAAAAUUGAAAAAUUAUCUCCCUAAAGUAUUCCUCCCCAGUGAGAUUUACUAUCACAUGUAAAAACGCUAAUAGUACACUUUAUAUUUUUAACAAUGUUAAUAAUUUCUUCGGGAAUCGUCGAUCAUAAUAAUCCUUAUAAUUUAUGACUAUGCCAGUCUUACUUUAUUGCUUUCGUAAUUUUUAUUUGCGCACUGCACCUCCGAUAGUAGUACUUGUUGGGCUCGUUGUGAUUUGACGCUGGCGGUUAUAUAGGUAAACAUUUUUUUUUAUGCUUAAUUUAUUUAUGUUUAUCGUUGGUUUUACAGUGACGUUUAUUUAUUUAUGUAUUAAUUUUAUAAUUUUAUAAUAUUAUCGUUAAAAAUACUGGGCAUUGCGCAAAUAAAUCAAUUUCGUUGAAAAUCUAUGAUAAAAAAAAAAAAAAAGCAUCAAAUCUUACUGGACUUGUCGUGAUACACAAAAAAGAUUAACUGUUUUUGUAUUAUUCCGCCGUAAUUUAUUUAUUGUUGAUCGUUUACCUCAUAGUAUUCUCUGUCGCUCUCAUCACUACUUGUAUCUUUUUAAAGUGAUUGUAGUAUGUGCUCACGUCGUUUUUAUCGACGAGACAUCAUCUUUUUUUACUUUAGUUAAAUUUGUCCACAACAUCCCUGCAUAAACGAUGCCAGAUUCAUUUCGAUUGGUUAAAGUUUCGACUUGUUGGCUUGAUUGUUGGUAAUUUCACUAUACAAAAUAAUAUUAACUAUUAAAUAGACCACGACCGAUAAAAUAGAAUGUAAGUAAUAAAUUAUUACGUUUCGUGCCUUUAAGAGGACGCCACACCGGUAUCUACUGUCCUCGGACAUAGAAAAUUCGCGUUCAUUAGGACACAUUUCAUAUUUUCAUGCCAUUAGUUUUAAUAUUAAAGUAAAUUCAUCUAUGGCAAACUUAGAAGUUAGAAGAUUAUCUGUGUUCUAGCGUUGAUGUUGAUUCGAUAUUUUAAUUUCUAAGUCAGAUAUAAUCAUUUUUGAAUCGUGAUAUUUACCAUACUCGUAUCCAGUGAUGUAUUUAGGGGAGUGCUAAAGAAGGCGAUCGCCCCAGGCGUCAUUUUUUAGGGGUGACAUCAGAUUUUUACUUACCCAUCUUCUGUUAAUGAACAAUAAGAUAAAUUUGCUAAUAUUUUUUUUUUUUUUAUCAUAUUUAAUAUUCUAAGAUUGUAACACCUUACACCACAGCUAUAGAGUAUAAACAAAAUUUAUAGAUAAUAGAGCUAACUAUAUAAUAUUAUCUUUAACUGUGUCUGAGCCACGAUCAAAGAUAUACAGGUUGGAAAUCGAGCUGUAAUAAAGUGAAGCACAAACCUUCUGAAAAAGUCAGCUGUUCCAAUUAAUCACUAGCGCCCGUUAAUUCCCAAUGUUAAAAAUUAUUACUUGUUAUUAUCAUAAAACAGUAUUAAACAAUUUCAUUAUAUACGAUAAAAAGAAAAUGUAUUAAUAUUUACAUAAUUUAAAAAUGUACGAACAUGAAACAACUUAUGACUAUUUUUUGGUGGCUGUGUGUUUGAAAAUGUAUUUCAGGUAUGACUGAUGAAAUGUAACAGUGAGAGCUGCAGUAACAAUGAUCGGUGUGUAUGUAUUCUACACUCUAGACAAAUAUAAAUUAUUACAUACAAUGUUAAUAUCUAUAUUUUUAUAUUAUAUUGAUACAUUAAAAUAAUUCAAAACAAAACCUUUCUCUUUUUUAACAAAUUUAAUCAAUUGUUUUUGGAAUCAUUUAUAUUGUUGACGCAAUAAGUAGCUUCUGUCUCCAAUAGAGUAUACAAUUAUUUAUUCAAUUGAUUUCAAUGGGGUGACUAAAAUACUGUAUAAUAUGAAAAUAUAUGUAUUAUAUAAACAAUUCUAUGUGUUUGUUAUAAAGUUGAACGUGUUGUUGGAAUAACACCUACACGCAAUUAUGGUCUUCUCAAACAAAUCUAUGAAAAACAGUUAUUACUGUAAUAACAGUUUUUACUAGUUAUUAUCGCAAUCGUAUAGAUAAUUAAAUAAUGUAAGUAUAUUUUUAACUGUGGUAAUUAGUUGUCACUAAUUCUUUAUAAUAAAUAUUAAAUAUGCAAGCUGUAACAGAAAGAG